UGAUUAUUAUUGGGAAGAAAUAGAACAGAGGAAACAGAGGGCAGAGCAGGGGAGUUUCGCUUGCAUUGUCUAUUUGAUGAAGUGAGCUUUUGGAAUGGGAUGAAUGAUUGAGUUUCAUCUCGUUGGCUAUAUUUUUAUUUCCAUCUUUCAUCUUUUACUUUAUUUUGAGAAUGCCAUGGCAGUAUGGCACAAACAUGAUGCAAUUGAAAUUGGAUUUCAGAGGUAAUGUAUUGCAUUAUGAGCGACUCAUGUUUUUAUCCCUAUUCUGGGAUUUGACAUGCUAUAUAAUUUUAGAUUGUCAUAGCAUUUUCUCUGAAAAAAGAUUGCUUUUUAGCCUCUGUUGCUGUGAUAUGAGUUCUCAAGAACAUCACUUUUUGUUCAGGGAAAAACUAAUGAAAACACAUUUAAUUGUUACAUUAAGUAAUUUUCUUAAAUACAAUCUUAUCAAAGUUACACUUUUAAUUUAGUCUUCCUGUUCUCUUUUGAAUGGCCUCUAGAGCAUUAGCUGCCUUUUCAUAACGCACAACUAAGAGAGAAGAAAAUGGAAAAUUUGUCAUCUUGAAGAACUUAUGAUCAUAGCACCAAAUACACACAAGGAAUCACAAAGUAGUUAGUACCUUCAUACUUGCAUGCUUGAAGUAUCCCAGUCACAAUGCUGAGGCAUGUGGGGUCGUUAACCACAACCACAAUAUUGAAUUCUCAAGGAAGGUUUUGGGGUUUGGUUGAUUGAACAGGGCCGGAGAUUGUAUUAUCCAUGCUUGAAAAAUUAUGAAGGCUG
rnacentral:lncRNA from 1 species